GCAUUAGUAACUCAAUGUUAGAGUAUCAGUUUUGUAAAUUGAAACGUAGGGGUUAAAAUCCUCUCUACUGCU
rnacentral:tRNA from 1 species